UUAAAGGGUGUGAGAAAUGUAUGUAGCACUUUCAGCCAGAGGAUUUUGAAACGGAAGUCUGAAAAAAGUGAUGGUAUUCCAUCGAUUUCCCCCUUCUCUUCAAAGAGGAAGGCAUCCGAUCAGCCAACAUCAGAGCAACAGAAAAGAAGCCAAGCUGAGGUAAUGUUGUUAACGGUACUUAUCUAACUAGCUAGCUAGCAAGCUACAUUUGUUUAUGUUCUAUUUAGAGUCCGAUCGCAUCAACAUCUGCAGCGGCAUCAACAUCAAGCUCAACACCAGGAACUAGUAAGUACUAAUCCUGCUACUGAGGACGACCUUGACACCAGCGUUAGUAGUACAGAGCCUGUAGACCCAGUGGAUGAAAGCUUUCAGCCUGGAAUAAGCCUAAGCUCAACAUCAUCUGACAUUGAAACAAGCCAGGACAGCCAAAGGGGACUUGCGUUACAUACAAAUCUUCGGCAAGAGGUCGAAGCAGUGGCUAGUGAAAAACACCGCCAAAGCCUGCUAAACCAGCUGCCAUUACCCUUCACAAGCAGAGGUUCACCAGCUGAAGAACAUUCAACUAAAACCACAUCCAUAUUCAGUUAGACUCGUGUUCUAGUAUAAUAUAGAUUAAAGGAUGCGUGCUGAUUCAUGAUUUCGACUGUCCGAGAAACACAGCCUGCCUGUCUAUGUUAGUCUAAAAGAUAUGUGAGAUAAUGUCUAGAUGCAUUUUAUAGUGGCGAUCAAGUUUAUAAAUUGCCUGGCUGGGCUGACUGAUCAGAAGGUGGAUUGUGCAGUCAGAUAGGCAUUUUAAGGUUAUAGAUUUAGCUGGUGGUAAAUGUGGAAUAGACACCGGCUGGAAUGCAGUUUUAACCAAUCAGCAUUCAGAAUUAGAACUACCCGUUGUAUAAUAUAGAUUAUCAGAAACCAAUAAAGUGCUGACUUUAACUUCUGGAUCAAUUCAUUGUGAUAUUCAUGAAAUAUAUUUGGUUAAUCUAGGUUCAAUCUUACUGCUAAAAC